UCAUACAGAAGGCUUUGGAUGAUUCUUUAGAACAACUUUUGCUAUGAGAAGGGACAGUUUUAUGUUUCUCUUCUUUUAGAACCAGAGCAAAUGAAUAUGCAGCUGAAAGCUUUCUGUCUUGAUUUUAGGUUGAUCACUGGUUUACUGAUAGAGAAAAGAACAAUGCAGAAUAGCGUCAAGAAACUCAACAUGCUUCUGGAAUGGGGGAAUUUUUGCCUUAGUGGUGAACAAUCUGCAUGAGUAGAGGAAUUUAAAAUCAAUGAUAGCUCUUGAGGAUUUUACAUGAGACACUGAAUUCCGAGUCUAUGACAGUUUUACAAGGAGACAACGCUUCAUAUUGCAGAGCCUGAUGCUCAGAAGCCUAUUUGAAGGAAAAUCUCUCAUUCCAGUUUGCCUUCACCUGAGAAGGAAACAGACCCACGUGCCUGGCCACGGGUGCCGGUAAUUGUUGAACACUUGGAUGAGCUGUCAACUUGAUAACUGUUUGUCAUGUCCUACUUAAUUGGAGCCCCAUAGAACAAUAAUGAAGUAUCUGCUCCAUGCAGAUGACUUUGUGAUUGAUGACCCAGCUAAGGAAAUCAUUUACAAAUACAGGCCAAAAUUCACCCUGGUGAUAAAUCUCAUCUGAUAUUCUCAUAGUCCUCUGAGUACGGUUCUGUGAUUGACACCCACUGUAUUGUGAUAACCCAAGAGAAAAACCUUGCCUCUAGUCACAACAAAGGCCCCUAAAUUGACUCACUCUUAUUGAAAUAGAGUGAAACUUUGUUAGCUUCUUUUCAAGCUGACUGAAGGUUUAGUGCAUAUAUAUUUUUAAUGCUGUGUGAGUAAAAAUAUUACAUUGAAAGUAAUAUCGGUUGAUUGACGUUUUUAAAAAUUGAGUUCCAUUUGCGCGGGGUCAU
rnacentral:lncRNA from 1 species